AUUGAACGCUGGCGGCAUGCUUUACACAUGCAAGUCGAACGGUAACAGGCCGCAAGGUGCUGACGAGUGGCGAACGGGUGAGUAAUGCAUCGGAACGUGCCCAGUCGUGGGGGAUAACGCAGCGAAAGCUGUGCUAAUACCGCAUACGAUCUGUGGAUGAAAGCGGGGGACCGUAAGGCCUCGCGCGAUUGGAGCGGCCGAUGUCAGAUUAGGUAGUUGGUGGGGUAAAGGCUCGCCAAGCCGACGAUCUGUAGCUGGUCUGAGAGGACGACCAGCCACACUGGGACUGAGACACGGCCCAGACUCCUACGGGAGGCAGCAGUGGGGAAUUUUGGACAAUGGGCGCAAGCCUGAUCCAGCAAUGCCGCGUGCAGGAAGAAGGCCUUCGGGUUGUAAACUGCUUUUGUACGGAGCGAAAAGGCUCUCUCUAAUACAGGGGGCUCAUGACGGUACCGUAAGAAUAAGCACCGGCUAACUACGUGCCAGCCGCCGCCGUAAGAC
rnacentral:rRNA from 1 species